CGGGUGAGUAACACGUGGAUAACCUACCUAUAAGACUGGGAUAACUUCGGGAAACCGGAGCUAAUACCGGAUAAUAUAUUGAACCGCAUGGUUCAAUGGUGAAAGACGGUUUUGCUGUCACUUAUAGAUGGAUCCGCGCCGCAUUAGCUAGUUGGUAAGGUAACGGCUUACCAAGGCAACGAUGCGUAGCCGACCUGAGAGGGUGAUCGGCCACACUGGAACUGAGACACGGUCCAGACUCCUACGGGAGGCAGCAGUC
rnacentral:rRNA from 1 species